rnacentral:rRNA from 1 species
UUAAGCGACUAAGCGUACACGGUGGAUGCCCUGGCAGUCAGAGGCGAUGAAGGACGUGCUAAUCUGCGAUAAGCGUCGGUAAGGUGAUAUGAACCGUUAUAACCGGCGAUUUCCGAAUGGGGAAACCCAGUGUGUUUCGACACACUAUCAUUAACUGAAUCCAUAGGUUAAUGAGGCGAACCGGGGGAACUGAAACAUCUAAGUACCCCGAGGAAAAGAAAUCAACCGAGAUUCCCCCAGUAGCGGCGAGCGAACGGGGAGCAGCCCAGAGCCUGAAUCAGUGUGUGUGUUAGUGGAAGCGUCUGGAAAGGCGCGCGAUACAGGGUGACAGCCCCGUACACAAAAAUGCACAUGCUGUGAGCUCGAUGAGUAGGGCGGGACACGUGGUAUCCUGUCUGAAUAUGGGGGGACCAUCCUCCAAGGCUAAAUACUCCUGACUGACCGAUAGUGAACCAGUACCGUGAGGGAAAGGCGAAAAGAACCCCGGCGAGGGGAGUGAAAAAGAACCUGAAACCGUGUACGUACAAGCAGUGGGAGCACGCUUAGGCGUGUGACUGCGUACCUUUUGUAUAAUGGGUCAGCGACUUAUAUUCUGUAGCAAGGUUAACCGAAUAGGGGAGCCGAAGGGAAACCGAGUCUUAACUGGGCGUUAAGUUGCAGGGUAUAGACCCGAAACCCGGUGAUCUAGCCAUGGGCAGGUUGAAGGUUGGGUAACACUAACUGGAGGACCGAACCGACUAAUGUUGAAAAAUUAGCGGAUGACUUGUGGCUGGGGGUGAAAGGCCAAUCAAACCGGGAGAUAGCUGGUUCUCCCCGAAAGCUAUUUAGGUAGCGCCUCGUGAAUUCAUCUCCGGGGGUAGAGCACUGUUUCGGCAAGGGGGUCAUCCCGACUUACCAACCCGAUGCAAACUGCGAAUACCGGAGAAUGUUAUCACGGGAGACACACGGCGGGUGCUAACGUCCGUCGUGAAGAGGGAAACAACCCAGACCGCCAGCUAAGGUCCCAAAGUCAUGGUUAAGUGGGAAACGAUGUGGGAAGGCCCAGACAGCCAGGAUGUUGGCUUAGAAGCAGCCAUCAUUUAAAGAAAGCGUAAUAGCUCACUGGUCGAGUCGGCCUGCGCGGAAGAUGUAACGGGGCUAAACCAUGCACCGAAGCUGCGGCAGCGACACUAUGUGUUGUUGGGUAGGGGAGCGUUCUGUAAGCCUGUGAAGGUGUACUGUGAGGUAUGCUGGAGGUAUCAGAAGUGCGAAUGCUGACAUAAGUAACGAUAAAGCGGGUGAAAAGCCCGCUCGCCGGAAGACCAAGGGUUCCUGUCCAACGUUAAUCGGGGCAGGGUGAGUCGACCCCUAAGGCGAGGCCGAAAGGCGUAGUCGAUGGGAAACAGGUUAAUAUUCCUGUACUUGGUGUUACUGCGAAGGGGGGACGGAGAAGGCUAUGUUGGCCGGGCGACGGUUGUCCCGGUUUAAGCGUGUAGGCUGGUUUUCCAGGCAAAUCCGGAAAAUCAAGGCUGAGGCGUGAUGACGAGGCACUACGGUGCUGAAGCAACAAAUGCCCUGCUUCCAGGAAAAGCCUCUAAGCAUCAGGUAACAUCAAAUCGUACCCCAAACCGACACAGGUGGUCAGGUAGAGAAUACCAAGGCGCUUGAGAGAACUCGGGUGAAGGAACUAGGCAAAAUGGUGCCGUAACUUCGGGAGAAGGCACGCUGAUAUGUAGGUGAAGUCCCUCGCGGAUGGAGCUGAAAUCAGUCGAAGAUACCAGCUGGCUGCAACUGUUUAUUAAAAACACAGCACUGUGCAAACACGAAAGUGGACGUAUACGGUGUGACGCCUGCCCGGUGCCGGAAGGUUAAUUGAUGGGGUCAGCGCAAGCGAAGCUCUUGAUCGAAGCCCCGGUAAACGGCGGCCGUAACUAUAACGGUCCUAAGGUAGCGAAAUUCCUUGUCGGGUAAGUUCCGACCUGCACGAAUGGCGUAAUGAUGGCCAGGCUGUCUCCACCCGAGACUCAGUGAAAUUGAACUCGCUGUGAAGAUGCAGUGUACCCGCGGCAAGACGGAAAGACCCCGUGAACCUUUACUAUAGCUUGACACUGAACAUUGAGCCUUGAUGUGUAGGAUAGGUGGGAGGCUUUGAAGUGUGGACGCCAGUCUGCAUGGAGCCGACCUUGAAAUACCACCCUUUAAUGUUUGAUGUUCUAACGUUGACCCGUAAUCCGGGUUGCGGACAGUGUCUGGUGGGUAGUUUGACUGGGGCGGUCUCCUCCUAAAGAGUAACGGAGGAGCACGAAGGUUGGCUAAUCCUGGUCGGACAUCAGGAGGUUAGUGCAAUGGCAUAAGCCAGCUUGACUGCGAGCGUGACGGCGCGAGCAGGUGCGAAAGCAGGUCAUAGUGAUCCGGUGGUUCUGAAUGGAAGGGCCAUCGCUCAACGGAUAAAAGGUACUCCGGGGAUAACAGGCUGAUACCGCCCAAGAGUUCAUAUCGACGGCGGUGUUUGGCACCUCGAUGUCGGCUCAUCACAUCCUGGGGCUGAAGUAGGUCCCAAGGGUAUGGCUGUUCGCCAUUUAAAGUGGUACGCGAGCUGGGUUUAGAACGUCGUGAGACAGUUCGGUCCCUAUCUGCCGUGGGCGCUGGAGAAUUGAGGGGGGCUGCUCCUAGUACGAGAGGACCGGAGUGGACGCAUCACUGGUGUUCGGGUUGUCAUGCCAAUGGCACUGCCCGGUAGCUAAAUGCGGAAGAGAUAAGUGCUGAAAGCAUCUAAGCACGAAACUUGCCCCGAGAUGAGUUCUCCCUGACUCCUUGAGAGUCCUGAAGGAACGUUGAAGACGACGACGUUGAUAGGCCGGGUGUGUAAGCGCAGCGAUGCGUUGAGCUAACCGGUACUAAUGAACCGUGAGGCUUAACCUU